AUUGAACGCUGGCGGCAGGCCUAACACAUGCAAGUCGAGCGGAGCGGCGGACGGGUGAGUCCUGCCUAGGAAUCUGCCUGGUAGUGGGGGAUAACGUCCGGAAACGGGCGCUAAUACCGCAUCCUAUCAGAUCAGCCUAGGUCGGAUUAUCUAGUUGGUGGGGUAAAGGCCUACCAAGGCGCCGAUCCGUAACUGGGCUGGGAGGAUGAUCAGUCAAACUGGAACGGAGACAAGGUCCAGACUCCUACGGGAGGCAGCAGUGGGGAAUAUUGGACAAUGGGCGAAAGCCUGAUCCAGCCAUGCCGCGUGUGUGAAGAAGGUCUUCGGAUUGUAAAGCACUUUAAGUUGGGAGGCGUUACCAACAGAAUAAGCACCGGAUAACUGCGUGCCAGCAGCCGCGGUAAUUC
rnacentral:rRNA from 1 species